rnacentral:rRNA from 1 species
UACGUAGGGUGCAAGCGUUAUCCGGAAUUAUUGGGCGUAAAGAGCUCGUAGGCGGUUUGUCGCGUCUGCUGUGAAAACCAGAGGCUCAACCUCCGGCCUGCAGUGGGUACGGGCAAACUAGAGUGCGGUAGGGGAGAUUGGAAUUCCUGGUGUAGCGGUGGAAUGCGCAGAUAUCAGGAGGAACACCGAUGGCGAAGGCAGAUCUCUGGGCCGUAACUGACGCUGAGGAGCGAAAGCGUGGGGAGCGAACAGG